rnacentral:rRNA from 1 species
UUAAUUCAUACAUCUUAUUUAAUUUCUGUUGUUGAUUUAUUUAUUUUUAUUUGAUGUUAAGAUUGAGGGGGAUUAGCUCCUUGUUCUGCUUUUAUAAUUGUCUAUUGUUAAUUUAGUUUUGUGGAUUUUAUGGUGAUUUUCUAUUUGAUUAUGUUAAAAUUUUAUUUGUUCUUUUUUUAAUUUUUUGUUAUUUAAGUUAUUUAUUGAAAUGUUUUCUUUACUUUAGUUUGUAUGGUAAUUAUUGUGUAAUUAGUAAAUUUUAUUGAUUGUUUUGUGAUUACGGUAGGUGUUAAUUGCUUUUAAGGAAUUCGGCAAAAUUUUAUGUCCGCCUGUUUAACAAAAACAUCUUUUCUUGUUAGUUUUUGAAGUAUGGCCUGCCCACUGACUUUAAGUUGAAGGGCCGCGGUAUUUUGACCGUGCAAAGGUAGCAUAAUCAUUAGUUCUUUAAUUGUGAUCUGGUAUGAAUGGCUUGACGAGACAUAAGCUGUCUUGGAAGUAUUGUUUUAUUGAAUUUGGUUUUUGAGUUAAAAUUCUUAAAUGUUUUUAUGGGACGAGAAGACCCUAUAGAGUUUGACAAUUUUCUUAUUUAUUCGUUGUUUGUUUGUUUCACUGAGUGGGAAUAGUUGUUUUGUUGGGGUGAUGGGAGGAAUAUUAUUUAACUCCUCUUUGUUUUUGUAUAUUUAUGUAUAUAUUUUUGAUCCAUUUAUUUUGAUUAUAAGAUUAAAUUACC